CCUCAUCACACAUAGAGAGAGAGAGAGAGAGAGAGAGAGAGAGAGAGAGGAGAGAACCGUUUGGUGAGAAGGAAAAAGAAGAAGAAGAAGAAAAUCUUGGAGAUUUCUUCCUAGACUUGGAUUGAAGCCUAAUUUGGAGGUUCGGGGGACACGUGGCUACGAGGCAACGGGACGUAGAGUGGUGGCAUAUAGCUUUCUUUUGGACGUGCUAUGUAGAUAUGGACUUGUAGAUAGGGAGUUGCUCUUGGUAAACACUUUUUUUUGACAUGUAAAAAUGCACAGCUCUGGGUGGUUUGCAAUGUAAAGAUCCUUGUAAAGACUUUUGGUUUGGCAUAUGUAAUAAAAUAGAAUUUGCUUCCGCUUGUCGUUAAUUAAGUCCCUUUAGUCAUUUGCUAAUGAGGUGUUUAACUUUAAUAUGGCCUUAGUGAUGUGAUCACUGGCGCCUUGUUGUGACUAGAGCCUUUAGGGGCGGGCUAGGGUC